GAGCUCAGUGGCAGAGUAUCUGCUCUGAAUGCAGAAGGUCACGGGUUCAAACCCUGGCAUCUCCA